GUCAGGAUGGCCGAGGCGGUCCAAGGCGCGUUUCAGGUCGUCGAGUCUCCACUGGAGGCGUGGGUUCGAAUCCCACUUCUGACA
rnacentral:tRNA from 1 species